rnacentral:lncRNA from 1 species
CAACCACGCAGCAGCGCGGUGCACGCUGGGAUAUACACCCCUCCAUGCAUCCUUUAUGGGGGCGGCCAUUUUGAGGGCGUUGCCGCCAUCUUGAGGGCGUCGCCGCCGUUUUUCCCCACCUCGCCCCGCUUUUCUUCGUUUUGCCCCAAUUUUGUCCCAAUUUUGCCCAAUUUUUCCCCUAAUUGCGCCAGUUUACUCCAGUGUUCCCCGUGCUGCUCCAACUUCUCAUCAUUUUGCUCCAAUUUUUCCCCUUUUUCCACAGUUCAGCCCUAUUUUGUUCUCACUUUGCCCCAUUUCUCCCCCAAUUGCCUCCAAUUUUCCUUAUUUUUCCAAUUUCUCCCGAUUUUUCCCCGUUUUGCCCCAGUUUCCCCCAUUUGCUCUGAAUUUUGCCUCGAUUUUUCCCAAUUUUUCACUAGUUACCCUACAUUUCCCCCUUUUUUCCCCAAUUUACCACAAUUUUGCCCCAAUUCUCUCCCUUUUCCCCCAAUUUCACCCCAUUUUGUCCUGAUUUUCCCCCAUUACUCCCAAUCACCCCAAUUUUUGUCUCUUUUCCCAAUUCUUCCCCAUUUAGCCACAAUUUUUCCCCAUUUUUCCCAGUUUUCCCCCCGUUGCUCCAAUUUUCCCAAUGUUUUUCCCCUCUUUACCCCCAAUUUUUCACCAUUUUUCCCCAAUUCUUCUCCCAUUUUCUCGUUUUGCCCCCAUUUUUCCACAAUUUCCUGGGCCUCGCUGCCAUUUGUGGGCCCUGCCGCCAUUUUGAAGGCACCGCCGCCAUUUUUUUUGCCCUUCCCGCCAUUUUGUGGGCGUGGCCGCCAUUUUCCCCCUUCCCGCCAUUCUGUGGGCGUGGCCGCCAUUUUUGCACCAUUCCCGCCAUUCUGUGGGCGUGGCCGCCAUUUUGAGGGUACCGCCGCCAUUUUUUCACCAUUCCCGCCAGUUUUGAGGGCGCGACCGCCAUUUUUUCCCCAUUCCCGCCAUUUUGUGGGCGCGGCCGCCAUUUUUCCCCCAUUCCCGCCAUUCUGUGGGCGCGGCCGCCAUUUUUUUCCCCAUUCCCGCCAUUUUGUGGGCGCGGCCGCCAUUUUUUUCCCCAUUCCCGCCAUUUUGUGUGCACUGCCGCCAUCCUGA